GAUGAAGAACGUAGCGAAAUGCGAUAAGUAAUGUGAAUUGCAGAAUUCAGUGAAUCAUCGAAUCUUUGAACGCACCUUGCGCUCCUUGGUAUUCCGAGGAGCAUGCCUGUUUGAGUGUCAUUAAUAUAUCAACCUCUUCAGCUUAUGCUUGUUGAGUGUUGGAUGGUGGGGGUUUGCUGGUGUCUUAUGAAGUCAGCUCCUCUGAAAUGCAUUAGCGGAACAAUUUGUUGACCGUUCAUUGGUGUGGUAAAAAUAUCUACGCUAUUGACGUCAGUCAGUUCAGCUUCUAACAGUCCAUUGACUUGGACAAAUUUUUCAUUAAUGUGACCUCAAAUCAGGUAGGACUACCCGCUGAACUUAAGCAUAUCAAUAAGCGGAGGA
rnacentral:misc_RNA from 1 species